GACGAGGGGUCCUAGCGUUGUUCGGAAUCAUUGGGCGUAAAGCGUGUGUAGGCGGCCAUUCAAGUCAGUUGUGAAAGCCCCGGGCUCAACCCGGGAAGUGCUUCUGAUACUGUUUGGCUUGAGUACUGGAGAGGAUAGUAGAAUUCCUGGUGUAGUGGUGAAAUACGUAGAUAUCAGGAGGAAUACCGGUGGCGAAGGCGGCUAUCUGGCCAUGUACUGACGCUGAAACACGAAAGCGUGGGGAGCAAACAGG
rnacentral:rRNA from 1 species